GCUCUAGACCUCUGUGCUGGGAAACACCUAGAAGAGGAAACACAGAAAGAAAAAUUAAAAUCAGAACAAAGACAAAUUAAAAAAAAAAGAAGCCCAGCAGAUUGCAUCGUGGCUGCAGAUGGAAGAGCAGAGAAAUAACAACUUCAUAAUAGCUUUCUACUGGACAUGAUCUUCAUUUGAGGGGAGGUGACUUUUAUCCCUGCUUAUGCAGAUGGAGAGUUGAAGCACCUUUCCAUGGAAACACCACAGCCAUUUAAGAGAAUGUCCUAAAGGAAAAGGAGGAAGCAUUUGUGGCAAAUGCUGUCCAUUAAUUUGCCUGAUCUUCUCCUUUCAAGAGGAAUAAUCACCAAUGAGAAGCAGUGAAAACUGCAGAUGGCAGAGCAGAUGACAUUUAUGUGAGAGGUAUUUUCCGUACUGACUGGGUGCUUUAAAUUCAUACACAGAAGAAA